CACGCAGGUGCAUGCAUGUAGGAUAAUACAAUUAUUAAAGGUAUGUGCUUAAAACAUGUUUGCCACUUGUCAUGGCAUACAAAUAUAAAACCAGAAACAUUUAGCUCUAUAUACUAAAACUAUUUGAGCUGACAUUUCAGAGCUUCGGUACUGAGUUUUCUCUAGGUUAUAGAUAUUUUGUUGUACAUAAUGGGUGCCAUUCAAAAUAUAAUUUAGCACAUAAGUGCAGUUUUACAUGGAUGUGAACAGAGUUUGCUAUUGAUCUAUUUGAUGCAUACAUUUUAAGGUGAGUAAAUGUACAACAAUAUAUUUCAUUAGACAUCCAUAAACCAGCUGGGAACAUGACAGAUACUCUGAGGUAAACAUUUAUAUCCUGAGUAAUUAUGUAUGGUGUUAUUUUUGCUACACAUUGAAUACAUAAAAUAUUCAUGAGAAAAGAGUAAAUAAAGCAAGUAAAGCUAAUUGCAUAGUUCAUGGGGAUGAUGGCCAAACGAUUUGGUGUUAAUGCAUUAUUUACAUACAUUACUGAAAUAGACAAAGGAAGUACCUAUAAAAAUAAGUAAAUAGGAUAUAACAAUAGGAUAUUCAUGAUAUAAAGCCAAUAUUACAAUAAUUAAAAUUGAAAUAAUCAUAAUCACUUACAAAUAGAGGUAGAAAAUAAAGUGGUUAAUUGACAACCAACAAAAACCGUGCGACACAGCUCUUGACUAUUCUAUGUACAUCCAAAGCGGUGAUAACAGGUAUUAAUAAUGGAUAAUCAAAUACUUUAAAGUACUAUAAACACUAAACUGGUUUUUAUUAAUAAAGUAACUAUGAAACUAAAUGCUUCAAGCCAGUAUGUUUCAGACAGUAAGUAUGUUUUACCAAUAUCUUGGUACUGCCAAUAGCAUACAUCAUUGUUAAGUAAAACUUCAUUCCAAGCAAAUAUCAUUGCUUGUUAUUAUUUUAAAGAGUAUCUAAAGUGAAAAUUAUAAAAAUGGUAAUCUUUUUAAAUGAUCUUUUCCAUAUUAUUAACUGUAAAUUGCCUCACCUAGAAAAAGUUAAACUGCUUAUUCUAUCUGAAUGUUGGAUGAUAUUACAGCUAACAGGUACAUUAUAGGACUGUAACACAUUAAGGAUAGUUUAAUCACAGUAAAGAUGCAGCAAUUGUAGUAAAUAUUAUUUACUUAAAGGAUUUUACAGACUGAAGCAUAAUAAAUAAAUAUAAAUCAGUAGUGUCAAUUAAUCAGAAGAAAAUAUAACUCAGUAGUGUCAGUAAUCUGAGUAGCCAGAUCAGAUAUGUUCUUUUUGAAAGAUUUCAUUUUAAUUUGGAAUCCACCACUUGAUGCUGAGACCAGUUUUCUCAACCAUUAAAAAUAACCCGAAUUGCUUAAAGAUAUGUAUACUAGAAUCAAAUAAAUACAAAAUAAAGAAAUUUCGGCUUUGAAAUCUGAAUCGAAAGCAGUCUAUAUAUUAUUAACUUAAUAAAUGAAUAUUAUAAAUUGGGUCAAUAAGAGAUAGGUUUGGGUUGGAACAAAACAACAUUAGUUAUACAUAAAAUUGUCUGAUACUACACAGGAGCUAUACCAUCAGAAUACAUUAUACCAUACUGAAAAAGAAGUAUGUGAGACAGUUAAAGAAUAAAAGACUAGGCAAUUAAUAAGUAAUUUGUCCUAGCCCAUUAAAAGUUGAAUGCAUACCAGGGCACUCAGUAAAACAUAUAGAUUAUUAUAAAUAAACUGAACCUGAACUUUUAUGGAUGGUAACGAUACGAGUUAACAUUUCUCUCUAUACUCUCUUUAUGACAGGAAAUCUUGUAAUUUCCUGGGAGGUAAGACAUUUUAUUCUGAGACUAAAUUUCAGCACAUAUUGUAUGUUAGACCUUCUCUCACAGAAAAUUACAUGUACAGUUUAUGAUGAUUUUCUUGAUUGAUGUUGUGAGUCUAUUCUGACCACUUAUAAAAUAGAAACCAAGAUUGUGGAGGAUCAGAGGAGUGAAUUCAGUGGGGUGUCAACAACAUCUUUAACAAGUCAGUAAGUACAACCACAAGUGUUUUACAGUCAACAACUAAGAAAGAGCAUUGCUUAGUAUUUAUUAGUUUUGAACCAUUAAUUGAAAAAAACUGACUAAAGAACAAUUUAUAUGGUGAUUGGAACUUAUAUUUAAAGAUGAUGACAUCUGGUUAUGUUUAUAUUCAUAUAUAUUUAUUUGCAUUCCAUAAUGUUACAAUAGAUGUUGAAGAGGCUUAAAACUAAGUAGGUACCAUUAUAGGCCCUGUUAGGGCACAGCUAAAGAAGGCAAUACUUUAAGGCACCAUAAAUAAAGAACCAUGAGUUAAACUAGGCUCAGGGGUACUUUGUUGUCACUUUGUUUGUAUUAAAAUUGUUUCUACGCCACCACCUUCAAUUCUGCUUUCGUAUCCCUCAUCAGGGAUAUAGUUCCGAAGGAGCAGAAAGCUUUUCCACUCACGCUUUACAACUUGUAGAGUUAUAAUUUGAUUAAAUGGUAUUAACUAAAAAGAAAAGCUUAAAUUGAGAAGUGUAGUGAUUUUAAUGAAUUGUUAAUUAAUAAAACAAUACCAGACGAAGAAAAUUGAAUGAAUAAAUUAAAGAUUUGUACAAUUUUUACCUAGAUUAUCUGUUAUUAAUUCUUACGAGCCUCUGUAUUGAGAUGUGAAAUGAAUUGAAAGAUUCAUACUAAUUCAGUUUGGUUGUAUUGUUGAAUUAUUGAAAUAAGACUACAUAAAUAAACUUUUGAUAAGUUCAUAGGAUGGAAGGUAUGCACUAUGUACUGUUUUAGCUGGUUCUAUUGUUUGUUGCUGAAAACAAACGACUCGAGGAAGAAAAUGGAUAUUAUGUAUUUAUAUAUUUUAACCACUACAAUAAGGGAUUAACAGAAACAAUUGUAAUGUUGUAACAAUUGUAACUUGUAGUGGUCUGAUUGAGUUUGAUUGUGUUGUUAAAUAAUAAUAAUAGAAGACAUGUAUUGAUUUAGUUCAACCAUAGGCAUUGCUCUAAUACAAAUAAGAGAUGGACAGAGAAAAAUGUAAUUACUUGUACAUUUCUCAUUUUAUUAUGUUGUUAAUUAUUAAAAACUAGCGACUGGAAUGCUAAUAAAGAAUUGAGUAUUGAAUAGACAAGAUAUAUUGUACUAGUUGUGAGAUAACGAAUAUAAAUAAGAGAUGGGCAGAGAAACUGACUAAAGAAUUUGUAUUAGCUACUUUGAUCAUAUUGAUGAUUAAUGGAUACUAAACGAGAUAAAAUAUGUAUACAUAUAUAUUGUAGUCAGAGAUAGAAGAUGUAAUAAAUUGAGAGAUUUGUAUAUUGACCAGUUUGAGGAUAUUGACAAUUACGAGUCAUUUAUGAUUCUGAAUUUAAUACACGGAAGGAAUUGUGUAAGGACGGUUUUGUGUAAGGAGCCGCUUGUGAUAAUAUUAUUAAUCAAUAUUUAUAGAGAUCUUCAUUGACACAUACCUACUUAAAAAGCUGUGUAUAUUUUUCAUAGCUCUCAAUUCUUCGAAACUAAGUCCUUAAAAAAUAAAUUGUAUAUAUUGUGCCAAUAAAGUGUAAUUGUGAAGUAUAUAAAAUAAGACAGGAUAUUAAGCAAUUGUAUAUUGUAUUGAAGAUCAAUACAAGUGUAGUGACGCAGUUUAUGAAUCUAAGGCUGGAUAUUAAGAAAUUGUAUAUUGUAUUGUUAAUGUACAGUAGUCCAGGUACUGGAUAGAAAGAAGUUGUUUACUGUAAUGAGAAUUAUAUAAGCAGAAGCAAUGUGUAAAUACUGAUUUGCACUUUGAAUUAUGAUAGUGAUAAAUUUUAAUGUGUUAAUAAGGAACAUAAGUUCAGAGACUUUGUAUAAUAGAAGUUUUCUAUUGAAAUAUAAGAAAUGAUAUAAGUAUUUUGAUGCCAAUAUGGUGAUGUUGACUUGUACUGCUUGAAUUUGAAUGAGGUACACAAAUCCAGAGACUGGAUACAUAGGAUUCUUUAUUUAAUGAUAUUUGUUUGUGACUUUAGUUUAUUUAGUGAUAUACAUAAGUAUGUUGUCGUCGAUAUGUUCAUAUUGACUUGUAAUAUUGAAAUUUGAAUGUAUUGAUAAAGUAUGUGUAAGAUAAGAACCGAGACUGGAUAUAAGGAAUUGUUUACUUGAUGGGGAACUAUAUAAAUGAAUUCAUGUCAAUAUGUUGAUUUUGACUUGUAUUGCUUGAAUUUGAAUGUAUUGGUAAGGUACCUACACAAGUCCGGCGACUGGAUAUAGAGAAUUGUUUAUUUAAUGGGGAAUGAUAAAAGUAUAUUGAUGUCAAAAUGUUGAUGUUGACUUGUAAUCGUUGAAUUUGAAUGUAUUUAUAAAGAAAUAAAUCCAGAGACUGGAUAUAAAACAUGUCGAUUAUUGAAAUAGGAAAUGACAUAAGUAUAUAGAUGCCAAUAUGUUGAUGUUGACUUGAAAUGGUUGAAUUUGAAUGUAUUUAUAAAGAAUAUAGAUCCAGAGACUGGAUAUAAAUAAAGUUGAUUAUUGAAAUAGGAUAUGAUAUAAGUAUAUAGAUGCCAAUAUGUUGAUGUUGACUUGAAAUGGUUGAAUUUGAAUGUAUUUAUAAAGAAUAUAGAUCCAGAGACUGGAUAUAAAUAAAGUUGAUUAUUGAAAUAGGAUAUGAUAUAAGUAUAUAGAUGCCAAUAUGUUGAUGUUUACUUGUAAUGGUUGAAUUUGAAUGUAUUUAUAAAGAAAUAAAUCCAAAGACUGGAUAUAAAACAAGUCGAUUAUUGAAAUAGGAAAUUAUAUAAGUAUAUAGAUAUCAAUAUGUUGAUGUUGGCUUGAAAUGGUUGAAUUGGAAUGUAUUUAUAAAGAAUAUAAAUCCAGAGACUGGAUAUAAAACAAGUCGAUUAUUUAAAUAGGAAAAUAUAUAAGUAUAUAGAUGCCAAUAUGUUGAUGUUGACUUGUCAUGGUUAAAUUUGAAUGUAUUGAUAAGGUACAUAAGUCGAGAGACUUGAUAGAAGGAUCUUGAUGUCAAUUUGUUAACAUGACUAGAAGACGUAGAUAGCUCAAAUAGGAGUGAAUUCCUCGUUGCAGUCACAGUGAUAGUAAGAUUAACUUACUCUGUUAAACUUGAAUGUUUUGAUAAAGUAUACAAGUCCAAAUACUAGACGUGAAGUUGUUUACCGUAGUAAGAAUUUGUACAAGUAUAUGGUUGCCAAUUUGUUAAAAUGGCAAUGUACACAAGUCACAGUUUGGAUUCAAAAUGAAAUGAAAUGAAAAUAUUCGCAGAAAUUGUUUAUCGUAGUGAGAGUUUAUGCAAUUAUAUUGUUGACGAUUUGUUAGCAUGGCUGGAAGGCGUGGAUGGCUCCAGUUGGAGUGAAGGCCACGAUGCAGUCCUAGUUAAAGAUACGACUCUGGAAGGUUGGCACGAUCGUGAAGCCUUGUUGGUGGAUAUCCUCUUGGCUUUGCGGUGAGGGGUCAAAUGCAGAUGUCGUGAGUUGAGAUUGGCUGGAAGGCGUGGAUGGCUCCAGUUGGAGUGAAGGCCACGAUGCAGUCCUAGUUAAAGAUACGACUCUGGAAGGUUGGCACGAUCGUGAAGCCUUGUUGGUGGAUAUCCUCUUGGCUUUGCGGUGAGGGUCAAAUGCAGAUGUCGUGAGUUGAGAUUGGCUGGAAGGCGUGGAUGGCUCCAGUUGGAGUGAAGGCCACGAUGCAGUCCGUCCUAGUUAAAGAUACGACUCUGGAAGGUUGGCACGAUCGUGAAGCCUUGUUGGUGGACAUCCUCUUGGCUUUGCGGUGAGGGGUCAAAUGCAGAUGUCGUGAGUUGAGAUUGGCUGGAAGGCGUGGAUGGCUCCAGUUGGAGUGAAGGCCACGAUGCAGUCCGUCCUAGUUAAAGAUACGACUCUGGAAGGUUGGCACGAUCGUGAAGCCUUGUUGGUGGACAUCCUCUUGGCUUUGCGGUGAGGGGUCAAAUGCAGAUGUCGUGAGUUGAGAUUGGCUGGAAGGCGUGGAUGGCUCCAGUUGGAGUGAAGGCCACGAUGCAGUCCGUCCUAGUUAAAGAUACGACUCUGGAAGGUUGGCACGAUCGUGAAGCCUUGUUGGUGGACAUCCUCUUGGCUUUGCGGUGAGGGUCAAAUGCAGAUGUCGUGAGUUGAGAUUGGCUGGAAGGCGUGGAUGGCUCCAGUUGGAGUGAAGGCCACGAUGCAGUCCGUCCUAGUUAAAGAUACGACUCUGGAAGGUUGGCACGAUCGUGAAGCCUUGUUGGUGGACAUCCUCUUGGCUUUGCGGUGAGGGGUCAAAUGCAGAUGUCGUGAGUUGAGAUUGGCUGGAAGGCGUGGAUGGCUCUAGUUGGAGUGAAGGCCACGAUGCAGUCCGUCCUAGUUAAAGAUACGACUCUGGAAGGUUGGCACGAUCGUGAAGCCUUGUUGGUGGACAUCCUCUUGGCUUUGCGGUGAGGGGUCAAAUGCAGAUGUCGUGAGUUGAGAUUGGCUGGAAGGCGUGGAUGGCUCCAGUUGGAGUGAAGGCCACGAUGCAGUCCGUCCUAGUUAAAGAUACGACUCUGGAAGGUUGGCACGAUCGUGAAGCCUUGUUGGUGGACAUCCUCUUGGCUUUGCGGUGAGGGUCAAAUGCAGAUGUCGUGAGUUGAGAUUGGCUGGAAGGCGUGGAUGGCUCCAGUUGGAGUGAAGGCCACGAUGCAGUCCGUCCUAGUUAAAGAUACGACUCUGGAAGGUUGGCACGAUCGUGAAGCCUUGUUGGUGGACAUCCUCUUGGCUUUGCGGUGAGGGGUCAAAUGCAGAUGUCGUGAGUUUAGAUUGGCUGGAAGGCGUGGAUGGCUCCAGUUGGAGUGAAGGCCACGAUGCAGUCCGUCCUAGUUAAAGAUACGACUCUGGAAGGUUGGCACGAUCGUGAAGCCUUGUUGGUGGACAUCCUCUUGGCUUUGCGGUGAGGGGUCAAAUGCAGAUGUCGUGAGUUUAGAUUGGCUGGAAGGCGUGGAUGGCUCCAGUAAGAGUGAAGGCCUCGAGGCAGUCCUAGGAACGCAGCUCUGUAAAGGUGGCACAGUCAUGAAUUCUUGCUGGCGAAUAACCCCUUGACUUUGACCUUUAACUUUGUACCAAAAUAUAAACCAAUUUGUAAAUGUGAACACCAUGUAGCAUUUUAAUUGUCACUUUACUCUCAUUUGUCUUUGCGAUUCUACAUGAUCUUCGCAUGCUUUUACUGUAUGUAUCAAUACAUACAAAUUGUAAUACUAUAUUAUUUUUAAAAAGAGUAACCAUGGAGUUUCUUGCCCGUUCUUCUCCAUAGGAAGCUACUUUUGGAAUGGGCAACUAGAAUCAAACUUAGUUAUGGUUUUGACGUCCAUAAGUGCUUGUAAAGGCCUAAAUGAAAUAAAUGAUUUGACUUUGACUUUGAGAAGUUUGAGGACAAACUUAGUGGUCAGAAUGGCCGAAUGUUAGACUAAUAUUAUCCUGUGUUGUUCUGUAUGUUAUAUUCUCUUUUCAUACAUUAAGGAACUAUACUAUAUUUACCGAAGUAUACUAAAUCAUUUUAGUUUUAUACGGACAACACUACCUCUACUUUGAGGACAACACUAAAAAGAGAUUUUGACAGUUAGAGCGCGCGCUUUACAUGCGCUUCCUUGGUGGACUGAUAAACUAUGUUUUCUUACGAUUGAUAUUAAAUUGUGUUUUAAAAGUGAAUACAAGAAGUUAUUGUGAUACGAAUUGACGUUU